rnacentral:lncRNA from 1 species
UUCAAGAUACGUGUUCCCCCUCAAUUUAUGAUUCCCCCUCAAUGUAUGCUAAUAUAUCAAAGUGUGCAUGGGAAAUAUAUUAUAGUAUGUAUGCAUGCAUAGCCCGUUAUCUUCCCCCUUUUGACAUUAACAAAAAGUAUAAAAAGAAAUAUUUUAUUAUUUAAAAAGAUAAAGUAGUAUAUAAUCAACAAGAUACCAAAAUUAAACGGGGCAGAAUAUAAGCUGAAAUUUCAAAAUACAACAAGAAAAAUUUUUAAUCAUCAUUAUCCUCUUCGUCGUUGACGUUGUCUGGCGCAGUUUGAUAUGGAACAAGAGCAGCAUAUGGAUAAUUGACAUAAUCAAAAUAUCCAUGAAGUUCAAAUCUCAGUUGAGAAAUUUGGUCUGAGAUUGAUUGGAGAGUAGGCUCUUGAGUACGACGAGGUUGAGGACGAGGACGAGGAGGAGGAGGAGCAGCUUG